rnacentral:rRNA from 1 species
UCUUUUAAUUGAAGGCUUGUAUGAAUGGUCGGACAAAAAGUAAGCUGUCUCCAACUAUAAAAAUUGAAUUUGACUUUUAAGUGAAAAGGCUUAAAUAAUACAAAGUGACGAUAAGACCCUAUAAAGCUUUAAAGUAAGUAUUUUUUAGUAUAAAUUAUUAGAGAUGUAUAACUUAGUUUAAAAUAAAACUUUUUUGUUGGGGCGACAAAAAUAUAAAUGAAUAACUGUUUUUGUUAAAAUAAAACAAUUAUAAUUGGACUACAGAAUGAUCCUUUUAUAAAGAUUAAAAGAUUAAGUUACUUUAGGGAUAACAGCGUAAUCUUCUUUGAGAGUUCAGAUCGACAAGAAGGGUUGCGACCUCGAUGUUGAAUUAAGGUUCCUCUAUGGUGCAGCAGUUAUAGCAGGAGGUCUGUUCGACCUUUAAAUCCUUACAUGAUUU